rnacentral:rRNA from 1 species
UACAUGGGGUGCAAACGUUGCUCGGAAUUAUUGGGCGUAAAGCGCACGUAGGCGGUUCGUUAAGUCGGAUGUGAAAGCCCUCGGCUCAACUGAGGAAGUGCACCCGAAACUGGCGAGCUUGAGUACGAAAAGAGGAUCGCGGAAUUCCCGGUGUAGAGGUGAAAUUCGUAGAUAUCGGGAGGAACACCGGUGGCGAAGGCGGCGAUCUGGGUCGAUACUGACGCUGAGGUGCGAAAGCGUGGGAGCAAACAGGG